ACAGUAGGAUAUAGGACAGAUGCUGGCUGAACAGUAGGAUAUAGGACAGAUAUAGCCUCUGAACAGUAGGAUAUAGGACAGAUAUAGCCUCUGAACAGUAGGAUAUAGGACAGAUGCUGGCUGAACAGUAGAAUAUAGGACAGAUAUAGCCUCUGAACAGUAGGAUAUAGGACAGAUAUAGGCUCUGAACAGUAGGAUAUAGGACAGAUAUAGCCUCUGAACAGUGUAUGUUCCAUACUGCAUGUAUUAUAGUGGAUUUGUUUGCUGACUUCACAAAAUAAAUGUCCAUGUAAAUGGGCUAGGUCUAAAUGUCAAUGUAAAUGGGCUAGGUCUAAAUGGGCUAGGUCUAAAUGGGCUAGGUCUAAAUGUCGGUGUAAAUGGGCUAGGUCUAAAUGGGCUAGGUCUAAAUGUCCAUGUAAAUGGGCUAAGUCUAAAUGGGCUAGGUCUAAAUGUAGGUCUAAAUGGGCUAGGUCUAAAUGGGCUAGGUCUAAAUGGGCUAGGUCUAAAUGGGCUAGGUCUAAAUGUCCAUGUAAAUGGGCUAAGUCUAAAUGUCCAUGUAAAUGGGCUAGGUCUAAAUGUAGGUCUAAAUGGGCUAGGUCUAAAUGUCCAUGUAAAUGGGCUAGGUCUAAAUGUCGGUGUAAAUGGGCUAGGUCUAAAUGUCGGUGUAAAUGGGCUAAGUCUUAAUGUCGGUGUAAAUGGGCUAAGUCUACUGUAUUUUGUAUAUCGUACUUUGCUCUCAUUUUGAGAGAAAUAAAAUCCAGUUCGAUUCCCAACUCAGUAACUCAGAUCAGCUUUAAUAUUGAACAUAGAUUGUAACUCAGACCUUGGGGGAAGAUCAGCUUUAAUAUUGAACAUAGAUUGUAACUCAGGCCUUGGGGAAGUUCUGCUUUAAUAUUGAACAUAGAUUGUUGAUUCCAUCAAUGUAAUUGUCUGC
ensembl:lncRNA